rnacentral:rRNA from 1 species
UAAGGAAUAUUGGUCAAUGGACGCAAGUCUGAACCAGCCAUGCCGCGUGAAGGAUGAAGGUCCUCUGGAUUGUAAACUUCUUUUAUCUGGGACGAAAACGGGAUUUUUAUCUCAAUUGACGGUACCAGAGGAAUAAGCACCGGCUAACUCCGUGCCAGCAGCCGCGGUAAUACGGAGGGUGCGAGCGUUAUCCGGAUUUACUGGGUUUAAAGGGUGCGUAGGUGGGCUUAUAAGUCAGUGGUGAAAUCUCCGAGCUUAACUUGGAAACUGCCGUUGAUACUAUAGGUCUUGAAUAUUGUGGAGGUAAGCGGAAUAUGUCAUGUAGCGGUGAAAUGCUUAGAUAGGACAUAGAACACCAAUUGCGAAGGCAGCUUACUACACAAUCAUUGACGCUGAGGCACGAAAGCGUGGGGAUCAAACA